GGUUAAGCGACUAAGCGUACACGGUGGAUGCCCUGGCAGUCAGAGGCGAUGAAGGACGUGCUAAUCUGCGAUAAGCGUCGGUAAGGUGAUAUGAACCGUUAUAACCGGCGAUUUCCGAAUGGGGAAACCCAGUGUGAUUCGUCACACUAUCAUUAACUGAAUCCAUAGGUUAAUGAGGCGAACCGGGGGAACUGAAACAUCUAAGUACCCCGAGGAAAAGAAAUCAACCGAGAUUCCCCCAGUAGCGGCGAGCGAACGGGGAGCAGCCCAGAGCCUGAAUCAGUGUGUGUGUUAGUGGAAGCGUCUGGAAAGGCGCGCGAUACAGGGUGACAGCCCCGUACACAAAAAUGCACAUACUGUGAGCUCGAUGAGUAGGGCGGGACACGUGGUAUCCUGUCUGAAUAUGGGGGGACCAUCCUCCAAGGCUAAAUACUCCUGACUGACCGAUAGUGAACCAGUACCGUGAGGGAAAGGCGAAAAGAACCCCGGCGAGGGGAGUGAAAAAGAACCUGAAACCGUGUACGUACAAGCAGUGGGAGCCUCUUUUAUGGGGUGACUGCGUACCUUUUGUAUAAUGGGUCAGCGACUUAUAUUCUGUAGCAAGGUUAACCGAAUAGGGGAGCCGAAGGGAAACCGAGUCUUAACUGGGCGUUAAGUUGCAGGGUAUAGACCCGAAACCCGGUGAUCUAGCCAUGGGCAGGUUGAAGGUUGGGUAACACUAACUGGAGGACCGAACCGACUAAUGUUGAAAAAUUAGCGGAUGACUUGUGGCUGGGGGUGAAAGGCCAAUCAAACCGGGAGAUAGCUGGUUCUCCCCGAAAGCUAUUUAGGUAGCGCCUCGUGAAUUCAUCUCCGGGGGUAGAGCACUGUUUCGGCAAGGGGGUCAUCCCGACUUACCAACCCGAUGCAAACUGCGAAUACCGGAGAAUGUUAUCACGGGAGACACACGGCGGGUGCUAACGUCCGUCGUGAAGAGGGAAACAACCCAGACCGCCAGCUAAGGUCCCAAAGUCAUGGUUAAGUGGGAAACGAUGUGGGAAGGCCCAGACAGCCAGGAUGUUGGCUUAGAAGCAGCCAUCAUUUAAAGAAAGCGUAAUAGCUCACUGGUCGAGUCGGCCUGCGCGGAAGAUGUAACGGGGCUAAACCAUGCACCGAAGCUGCGGCAGCGACACUGUGUGUUGUUGGGUAGGGGAGCGUUCUGUAAGCCUGUGAAGGUGUGCUGUGAGGCAUGCUGGAGGUAUCAGAAGUGCGAAUGCUGACAUAAGUAACGAUAAAGCGGGUGAAAAGCCCGCUCGCCGGAAGACCAAGGGUUCCUGUCCAACGUUAAUCGGGGCAGGGUGAGUCGACCCCUAAGGCGAGGCCGAAAGGCGUAGUCGAUGGGAAACAGGUUAAUAUUCCUGUACUUGGUGUUACUGCGAAGGGGGGACGGAGAAGGCUAUGUUGGCCGGGCGACGGUUGUCCCGGUUUAAGCGUGUAGGCUGGUUUUCCAGGCAAAUCCGGAAAAUCAAGGCUGAGGCGUGAUGACGAGGCACUACGGUGCUGAAGCAACAAAUGCCCUGCUUCCAGGAAAAGCCUCUAAGCAUCAGGUAACAUCAAAUCGUACCCCAAACCGACACAGGUGGUCAGGUAGAGAAUACCAAGGCGCUUGAGAGAACUCGGGUGAAGGAACUAGGCAAAAUGGUGCCGUAACUUCGGGAGAAGGCACGCUGAUAUGUAGGUGAAGUCCCUCGCGGAUGGAGCUGAAAUCAGUCGAAGAUACCAGCUGGCUGCAACUGUUUAUUAAAAACACAGCACUGUGCAAACACGAAAGUGGACGUAUACGGUGUGACGCCUGCCCGGUGCCGGAAGGUUAAUUGAUGGGGUCAGCGCAAGCGAAGCUCUUGAUCGAAGCCCCGGUAAACGGCGGCCGUAACUAUAACGGUCCUAAGGUAGCGAAAUUCCUUGUCGGGUAAGUUCCGACCUGCACGAAUGGCGUAAUGAUGGCCAGGCUGUCUCCACCCGAGACUCAGUGAAAUUGAACUCGCUGUGAAGAUGCAGUGUACCCGCGGCAAGACGGAAAGACCCCGUGAACCUUUACUAUAGCUUGACACUGAACAUUGAGCCUUGAUGUGUAGGAUAGGUGGGAGGCUUUGAAGUGUGGACGCCAGUCUGCAUGGAGCCGACCUUGAAAUACCACCCUUUAAUGUUUGAUGUUCUAACGUGGACCCGUGAUCCGGGUUGCGGACAGUGUCUGGUGGGUAGUUUGACUGGGGCGGUCUCCUCCUAAAGAGUAACGGAGGAGCACGAAGGUUGGCUAAUCCUGGUCGGACAUCAGGAGGUUAGUGCAAUGGCAUAAGCCAGCUUGACUGCGAGCGUGACGGCGCGAGCAGGUGCGAAAGCAGGUCAUAGUGAUCCGGUGGUUCUGAAUGGAAGGGCCAUCGCUCAACGGAUAAAAGGUACUCCGGGGAUAACAGGCUGAUACCGCCCAAGAGUUCAUAUCGACGGCGGUGUUUGGCACCUCGAUGUCGGCUCAUCACAUCCUGGGGCUGAAGUAGGUCCCAAGGGUAUGGCUGUUCGCCAUUUAAAGUGGUACGCGAGCUGGGUUUAGAACGUCGUGAGACAGUUCGGUCCCUAUCUGCCGUGGGCGCUGGAGAACUGAGGGGGGCUGCUCCUAGUACGAGAGGACCGGAGUGGACGCAUCACUGGUGUUCGGGUUGUCAUGCCAAUGGCACUGCCCGGUAGCUAAAUGCGGAAGAGAUAAGUGCUGAAAGCAUCUAAGCACGAAACUUGCCCCGAGAUGAGUUCUCCCUGACCCUUUAAGGGUCCUGAAGGAACGUUGAAGACGACGACGUUGAUAGGCCGGGUGUGUAAGCGCAGCGAUGCGUUGAGCUAACCGGUACUAAUGAACCGUGAGGCUUAACCUU
rnacentral:rRNA from 1 species